UUAGGAAUUUUGGGCAAUGGGGGAAACCCUGACCCAGCAACGCCGCGUGGGUGAUGACGGCCUUCGGGUUGUAAAGCCCUUUUCCAGGGGAAGAUAGUGACGGUACCCUGGGAAUCAGCCCCGGCUAACUACGUGCCAGCAGCCGCGGUAAUACGUAGGGGGCAAGCGUUGUCCGGAAUCAUUGGGCGUAAAGCGCGUGUAGGCGGCCAUCCAAGUCCGAUGUGAAAGCUCGGGGCUCAACCCCGAGUCUGCAUUGGAAACUGGAUGGCUUGAGUCCGGAAGAGGAGACUGGAAUUCCUGGUGUAGCGGUGAAAUGCGCAGAUAUCAGGAAGAACACCGGUGGCGAAGGCGGGUCUCUGGGACGGUACUGACGCUGAGACGCGAAAGCGUGGGGAGCAAACA
rnacentral:rRNA from 1 species